rnacentral:rRNA from 1 species
UACGUAGGGUGCAAGCGUUGUCCGGAAUUAUUGGGCGUAAAGAGCUCGUAGGCGGUCUGUCGCGUCGGCUGUGAAAACUCGGGGCUCAACCCCGAGCCUGCAGUCGAUACGGGCAGACUAGAGUGCUGUAGGGGAGACUGGAAUUCCUGGUGUAGCGGUGAAAUGCGCAGAUAUCAGGAGGAACACCGGUGGCGAAGGCGGUUCUCUGGGCAUUACCUGACGCUGAGGAGCGAAAGUGUGGGGAGCGAACAGG